rnacentral:lncRNA from 1 species
GGACGGCAAUGGCUGUGGGCAAGGAGCGAGGCGCGAUUGGCUGUCCGGCGGACGAGUUCUGGGGCCCGCGAGCGCAAAGUGGAAGGCGGCGGGGCCGGGGCUGUGGCUGCGCCGCCCGCCAUCUACCUCCCCGCGGCGGCCCGGCCCCCGGUAUGAUGGUGGGGACCGGUGGGGAUCUAGGUCGCGGGCCAGGAGGAGGGUGUUGGGGAACGUGUGUCCAGCUCACCUCCGUUAGCCGCUGAACGCUAGCACCGACAGAAGAUUCUCUCAUCUUAAAGCGGAGGUAUACGGGGUGUCGGGGGAAGACACUCCCACCAGACUCAGAGUUACUCUGAUCUGAAAGAUGACAGUCGCAGCACGUCAGCCAGAAUCAAGUCUCCUAGGAGCCUAAACUAAAGGAUCAGAGCAAAUAAUGGUAUUAGGUACAAGACUCUCUGAGAGCUUGCCAUAAAUAUGUCAAUCGAUGUAAUCCUCACUACAGCCCUGUAAAUUAGGUGGUAAAAUAUCAUUUACAAAUAAAAAACUGAGACACAGGGUAAUGUGUUUAAAAUCAGCGAGCAGUGGCAGAAUUCGCUGUAAACAUUACACUGCGUAUAGAUGAUACUUUUCCAGAUGUUUGAAAUGUUGGACACAAUUCCCAUUCCGCUGGGGGAAAUAGCUAGAUUUACUGUUAUUGAAGAAUCCAGUUAUGGACUACCAUGCUAUACUGACAUAGGAAGUUCCCCCAAGACGUAUUUGGGAGUGGAUUUUAAAAGUUACAGAAAAAGAGAUAUGAGUACUUUUUUUUUUUUUUUUUGAGACAGAGACUCACUCUGUCGCCCAGGCUGGAGUGCAGUGGCGCGAUCUCGGCUCUCUGCAAUCUGCACCUCCCGGGUUCAAGCGAUUGUCCUGCCUCAGGCUCCUGGCAAAUUUUUGUAUUUUUAGUAGAGACGCGGUUUCACUAUGUUGGCCAGACUGGUCUCCAACUGCUGACCUCAAAUGAUCCACCCACCUUGGCCUCACUCCCAAAGUGCUGGGAUUACAGGCGUGAGCCACCGCGCCCAGCCAGUAAUUCUUUUUUUUUUUUUUUUAAGUAAUUCUUUUACACAAAAACCCCUUAAAACAAUACUGUUUUUUUGUGGUAUAUGCUUAUGUAAAUGAAUAGAAAAAGAUGUAUACACAUUACUAUAAAAAGACCUGCAGUAUUAAUAACAUACGCUAAACUGCCAACAGUCAAUAGGGGAGGGAAACUUUAUCCUAUUCAUGAAGUUUUUUUUUUUUUUUUUUUUUUUUUUGAGACGGAGUCUCGCUCUCUCGCCCAGGCUGGAGUGCAGUGGCGCGAUCUUGGCUCACUGCAAGCUCUGCCUCCCGGAUUCAUGCCAUUCUCCUGGCUCAGCCUCCCGAGUAGCUGGGACUACAGGCGUCCGCCACCAGGCCUGGCUAAUUUUUUGUACAUUUAGUAGAGACGGGGUUUCACCAUGUUGGCCAGGAUGGUCUCGAUCUCUUGACCUCGUGAUCCACCCGCCUUGGCCUCCCAAAGUGCUGGGAUUACAGGCAUGAGCCACCGCGCCUGGCCUAUGAAGUUUUUUUUGGGGGGCGUAGGGGGGUGAAAUGUGGUCAGAAAAAUGUAUAUAUACAUACUGUAUCUUCUCUACAUAAUAAAAAUUAUCUUUAAAACUUGAGUAAGAAUGACAAAUUUCACCAAGCAUGGUGUCUCAAAAAAAAAAAAAAGAAUGACGUUUUGUAUAAUUUGAGCACCUACUCUGGUAUAAUGGCUUUUGAAUAAUUGUAGAAAUAAAAUCUACCAUUAGGGGGUGAGGAUUUGAGGGUUAUGAGAAUAAGAGCAUAAACAUAAAGCACAUUCAGGGAAUUCCAAAAGAAUUUUUACAGUACUUUAAAACAGUGCAGUAUUUCAUAAUUUAGUCCAAGGCAGCUUAAUAACAAACAAUGUUAGCUAAAACUGCUCUAUAUCUAUGUUACAUAGCUCAUAUUUAAUGAAGAAUUAGAGGCACUCAAUAAUACUAAGUACUAUUUAUUUAUUUAUUUAUUUAUUUAUUUUUGAGACAGAGUCUGGCUCUGUCGCCCAGGCUAGAGUGCAGUGGCCCAAUCUCGGCUCACUGCAAGCUCCGCCUCCGGGGUUCAAGCGAUUCUCCUGCCUCAGCCUCCAGCGUAGCUGGGAUUACAGGCACGUGCCACCCCGCCGGGCUAAUUUUUUGUAUUUUUAGUAGAGAUGGGGUUUCACCGUGUUAGCCAGGGUGGUCUCGAUCUCCUGACCUUGUGAUCCGCCCGCCUUGGCCUCCCAAAGUUCUGGGAUUACAGGUAUGAGCCCCCGUGCUUGGCCAAUACUAAGUACUUUUUAAAAUAUGGCUCCUGAUAUUUUCAGUUGAAAUAUUUUAUAAAUGUAUUCAAUGUUGAUUACUGUAAAGUGUUUCACUUUAAUAAAAUUCAAGAUAUGCCUACAUCUUAUACCUGACAAUUUUGUGACCCUAUAUAAAAAUUGUUACAAACAAAAAACCCUUAGUAACAUCUAUUUUGUACAUUACACUGGGGUGGAGGCUUUAAAACCAAAAGGGAUAUGCCCAGGGAUUGAAAUGAGGGCAAUUCGCUCUUAAUUGACAGGAUCUACUAGAAACUGACAUUUAAAAUAUGUUAGUUGACCUAAGGAAUACCAAGAGCCAAAUUUGGCUUGGGAAUCUCUUAGUUAUUCACCCUAUUUGGAGAAGUAAAGAAGAAAGCAGAAGUAGUUGUGCUCACCUGACAAGUGCCUUCGUAUCUGGGACUUACCAUCAGACAGUUGGCAAGACCCUGUUAAUUGAGGGUUCAAAUCCUGAUGACAUCACAACUGUUGCUUGGUAGCCAGCCAGAUCAACAAUUUUCACAAGGCCUUGGCUUAAGCUAUUUUUUUUUUUUUUUUUUGAGAUGGAGUCUUGCUCUGUCUCCCAGGCUGGAGUGCAGUGGCACGAUCUUGGCUCACUGCAAGCUCUGCCUCCUGGGUUCAUGCCAUUCUCCUGCCUCAGCCUCCGGAGUAGCUGGGACUACAGGCACCCGCCACCAUGCCCGGCUAAUUUUUUGUAUUUUAAGUAGAGACAGGGUUUCACCGUGUUAGCCAGGAUGGUCUCGAUCUCCUGACCUAAUGAUCUGCCCGCCUCAGCCUCCCAAAGUGCUGGGAUUACAGGUGUAAGCCAUCGUGCCCGGAUGGCUUAGGCUAUUUCUUACCACAAUAAGAUGCUUCAAAUAGAGUUUAACAUGUAUUAAUUAUUGCAAUGUAACAAAUUAACUACCCAGAAACAUUUCUCCCACAGUUUCUGAAGGUCACGGAUCAGAGCAGGGUGGCUUAAUGGUUCUGGCUUAUUUUUUUUUAUUUUUUAUUUUUUUUGAAACAGAGUUUUGCUUUUGUUGCCCAGGCUGGAGUGCAAUGGCACGAUCUCGGCUCACUGCAACCUCUGCCUCCCAGGUUCAAGCAAUUCUCCUGCCUCAGCCUCCCAAGUAGCUGGGAUUACAGGCGUGUGCCACCGUGCCUGGCUAAUUUUUGUAUUUUUAAGGGCCAGGCCCGGUGGCUCACGCCCACUUUGGGAGGCUGAGGUGGGUGGAUCAUGAGGUCAGCAGUUCGAGACCAGCCUGACCAACAUGGUAAAACCCUGUCUCUACUAAAAGUACAAAAAAAUUAGCUAGGUGUGGUGGCAGGCACCUGUAAUCCCAGCAACUUGGUUGGCUGAGGCAGGAGAAUCGCUUGAAACCGGAAGGUGGAGGUUGCAGUGAGAUGAGAUUGCACCACUGCACUCUAGCCUGGGCAGUAAGAGCAAAAAAAAUUGCAUUUUUAGUACAGACGGAGUUUCACCCUAUUGGCCAGGCUGGUCUGGAACUCCUGACCUACAGUGAUCUGCCUGCCUUGGCCUCCCGAAGUGCUGGGACUACAGGCGUGAGCCACUGCUCCUGGCCAGUUCGGACUCUUGAGUUUACAGGACAUUUCAAGGGCCUACUGGGGAUGAAGAAUCUUUUCCAAACUCACUUUCUUCUUGGCAGGCUCACUUUCCCACAGUGAGGGCUGGCUAGGGCUACUCACAGCAUGGCUUCCUCACCCCAGGGCAACAGAUGAAAGAGGGAGAGAGUAAGAUGAAAGCCACAGUGUCUUUUGAACUUCUCUGAGAAGUUACAUACCAUCAAUUCUCCGUACAUGAAUCAUCACACAGACCAACCUUAGUACAAUGUAAGAGGGAACUUGACAAGGGUAUCAUUUCCCAAACUCUCCCUCUCAUGGAUAAUUACUAUAUACAGGGUGCGUAAGAGCUGUGGUCAAAAUGAAGGAAUUAGAGACACUACACAAACAAGAUUAGGCCCUGGUGGCCCGGCACGGUGGCUCAUCACGCCUGUAAUCCCAGCACUUUGGGAGGCUGAGGUGGGCAGAUCACAAGAUCAGGAGUUCAAGACCAGCCGGACCAAUAUGGUGAAACUCCGUCUCUACUAAAAAUACAAAAAUUAGCUGGGCGUGGUGGCAUGUGCCUGUAAUCUUAGCUACUCAGGAGGCUGAGGCAGGAGAAUUGUUUGAACCUGGGAGCCAGAGGUUGCAGUGAGCUAAGAUCGCUCCACUGCACUCCAGCCUGGGCAACAGAGCAAGACUCUGUAUCAAGAAAAAAAAAAAAUUGCUGGGCACAGUGGCCCAUGCCUGUAAUCCCAGCACUUUGAGAGACCAAGGCGGGCGGAUCAUGAGGUCAGGAGAUGGAGACCAUCCUGGCUAACACGGUGAAACCCCGUCUCUACUAAAAAUACAAAAAAUUAGACGGG